rnacentral:rRNA from 1 species
CCUACGGGUGGCAGCAGUGAGGAAUAUUGGUCAAUGGACGAGAGUCUGAACCAGCCAAGUAGCGUGAAGGAUGAAUGCCCUAUGGGUUGUAAACUUCUUUUAUCUGGGAAUAAAGUGCUCCACGUGUGGCAUUUUGUAUGUACCCGAUGAAUAAGCAUCGGCUAACUCCGUGCCAGCAGCCGCGGUAAUACGGAGGAUCCGAGCGUUAUCCGGAUUUAUUGGGUUUAAAGGGUGCGUAGGUGGUUUGGUAAGUCAGUUGUGAAAGUUUGCGGCUCAACCCUCAGAGUGCAGUUGAAACUGGCAGUCUGGAGUACGGUAGAGGUGGGCGGAAUGCGUGGUGUAGCGGUGAAAUGCUUAGAUAUCGCGCAGAACUCCGAUUGCGAAGGCAGCUCACUGGACUGCAACUGACGCUGAGGCACGAAAGUGUGGGUAUCGAACAGGAUUAGAUACCCGGGUAGUC